AGAGUGUUACAGGAAUUAGGUAGUUGGGCACAGUACAAUCUCUUUGAAGGAUCUCAUCUUUUCAGCUUGUGUGCCCAACUACUUGAUUCCUAAAAUACUCUCAGACCAUAUGAGAUUGUCCUAGCGAUGACACUGUCUGUUGUUGGAAUCUUAUUGCGGAGAUGAAGGUUUCAAUUAUUUGGUGGAGAUCCCUGAGAUGAAUUUUAGUUAAGUAGCUGUCCACUGUCAACAAUGAUAAGGUGGAGUAUGUUGGAUUUCAACACGGAUUGGGACUGUUCCUCGAGAUGAGAGAUGAGGGUUUAGCGUUUCCUUGUGAUCUGGAGAUCUUCUUCCCCUAUAAGGUUUCGUUAUUCUUCUCUGCUAAGGCUCUUCUUUGCGAUGGAUGCUAACCUCGCGUGAGGGGUAAAAGGCAAUCUUUUUUGUGUUUCAUCUGUUUGUGCAGCGACGUUUCUUGCUUCUACAUCCGGAUCAGGCAAGGUUGCUUUGACCAUUUCGAUCUCUGGUCCUGGGGUUAGCUUUGUCUGUUCAUCGGUGAAGCUCCAGUAGGCGUUGAUCCUCACUUCCUUUGUUGGCAAUAGAAUAAGCUCAAAUGCUGGUCCAAUUGGUAUACCAGCUUUAUCCUUGCCUGGAAGUAGAUCUUGUAAUCCAAAAUCUUUUCAGGUUUACAGUUUAUUUGGUGGAAAGAAGGAUAAUAAUGAGAAGGGUGAUGAUGGCCAAUCAAAGGAACGUCAAUGACAUCUUCAAUGGUACGAAGCUCGUGGAUUAGAUCCACCAAGAAACUCCAUGAAUUGAGUGUCUAUGAAGGAGAGGAUGAGUAACCUCACAGAGAGUUGAAGGAUGUCUCCAGGCCUUAGUGAGGGAUUGAAGUGACACUACUAUUCCAUGGUGCUGAUGAUAUGCAAGCUUCAAUUUUGUAUAGUACUUGAGCAGAGGUGGUCAUUUACAAUGUUAUACCAUGCCAGCAGAAUCUGAUCAAAUGUACUCAUGGUUUAUGAGAUGGUAGAAGAUUCAGAUCUCUUUGUUACUAAAAUAA